UUGUUGUUGUUGUUGUUGCUAUUUCUUGGGCCGCUCCCGCGGCAUAUGGAGGUUCCCAGGCUAGGGGUCGAAUAGGAGCUGUAGCUACCGGCCUACACCAGAGCCACAGCAACGCGGGAUCCGAGCCACAUUUGCAACCUACACCACAUCUCAUGGCAACGCCGGAUCGUUAACCCACUGAGCAAGGGCAGGGACUGAACCCGCAACCUCAUGGUCCCUAGUCGGAUUCGUUAACCACUGUGCCACAACGGGAAGUCCCCCUAAAGUCAUUCUUAAUUGAUACGUUACAAUCCUUCUUUCCCUUUAUCGUUAGAAAAUGCAAGGUUAACAGAAGUUCCCAGGUUCGCAGGGCCACAGAAUGGCCAACAAUCUCCACCUCUCACAAUUCAGUUUAGUUAGUAAAGAGGAAACCUGAAGCUCAGCUUCUACCUAUAAAAGCACUUCUCUGCCUCUUCUCUUGUUCAUCCCCUUCCCCAAACCAAUUUGUUAUUGGAAACAAAUUAGAGGAGUUCCUGCUGUGACACAACAGGAUCAUCAGCAUCUCUGCAGCGCCAGAACACAGAUUCAACUCGGAGCACAGUGGAUUUAAGGAUCUGGCGCAGCAGAGGUCACAACUGCAGCUCAGAUCUGAUCCCUGGCCUGGGGAACUCUGUGUAUGGGAAAACAGAUCAAAAGAAACACAGUUCAAGUAAAAAAAAAAAACACUCUUAAGGAAGGGAUGUUUCAUACAAACUAGGAAAGAGCCUAGGAAAUUGCUCCUUUGGUAUGUAUAGGUCUUUAAAAUCCUUAAAAAACCCACCUCCCUGAUUUCUAAGCCUUUCCAAGCAAAAGCCAGAUCGUAAUGCAACUUUCACCAGCAGACUGUGACUCGGCUCUGUAGGUUUUAGAUAAAAAGCUAGUUGAAACAUCUCACUUGUGAUAAAGGUUUUUUUUUUGUUUUAUUUUAAAAUCUUUAUGGUUCUACCUUCAAUAUAUGGAAGUUCCUGAGCUAUGGGUUAAAUCAGAGCUGCAGCCGUAGGCCAACACCGCAGCCACUGCAACACCAGAUCCUUAACCCACUGAACAAGGACAGGAAUCGAUCCUGCAUCCCCACAAACACUACGUCUGGUUUUUAACCCACUGAGCUACAAUGGGAACUCUGAUAAUUUUAAUUUAGCUGUUCUUAUGCCAUUUGAAGUAUAAGCCCAGUUUGUUUGUUUGUUUGUUUUUAAAAAAGUAUUAUUUACUUCAGCCUGAGGAACACCAGUACCACCAGUUCUUCUGAACAUUGAUGUGUUAGUAUUUACAUAAAUCAGGUCCUUAAUACCUGACCAUCCUCUGUGAGAUUAAUCUUCAAUUUUGACAGUAACCACCCCUCUGCCCCCAGCACCUAGUCACUAGCAAUGGUCAGAUUUCACCCAACAGGUGUCUCAGGCUUGGGAAAGCCUGGUGGCCUCUCUUGGGCACUCUACCUCAGCCAUGAUGCUCUGGCCAGAAAUUACUGCUGCAAAAUUCUGUUCUGCCUUGUAGACUGAGCUUUAAGAGGAUCCUGCCUAUGAGGACAAAGCCAUCAGCCUGCCCCAGCCUCAGUCGAGUGGUGAAAGCUGUGAUCUUAUCCCCCCUCCUUGGAUAGUCUCUCCUUCCUCCUUCAUGGGUCAAGAGUGCAGGAAGGGGUAUUCAAGCAUGCUUGUGCUUAACAUACUCCUUGAGCUCUUGUCAGUCUUCUAAAAAAAAAAAAAAAAAAAAA
rnacentral:lncRNA from 1 species